rnacentral:rRNA from 1 species
AGCGGCGAGUGAGCGGCAAAAGCUCAAAUUUGAAAUCUGGCUCUUUCAGAGUCCGAGUUGUAAUUUGAAGAAGGUAUCUUUGGGUCUGGCUCUUGUCUAUGUUUCUUGGAACAGAACGUCACAGAGGGUGAGAAUCCCGUGCGAUGAGAUGAUCCAGGCCUAUGUAAAGUUCCUUCGAAGAGUCGAGUUGUUUGGGAAUGCAGCUCUAAGUGGGUGGUAAAUUCCAUCUAAAGCUAAAUAUUGGCGAGAGACCGAUAGCGAACAAGUACAGUGAUGGAAAGAUGAAAAGAACUUUGAAAAGAGAGUGAAAAAGUACGUGAAAUUGUUGAAAGGGAAGGGCUUGAGAUCAGACUUGGUAUUUUGUAUGUUACUUCUUCGGGGGUGGCCUCUACAGUUUAUCGGGCCAGCAUCAGUUUGGGCGGUAGGAGAAUUGCGUUGGAAUGUGGCACGGCUUCGGUUGUGUGUUAUAGCCUUCGUCGAUACUGCCAGCCUAGACUGAGGACUGCGGUUUAUACCUAGGAUGUUGGCAUAAUGAUCUUAAGUCGCCCGUCU